rnacentral:rRNA from 1 species
UACAUAGGUCCCGAGCGUUGUCCGGAUUUAUUGGGCGUAAAGCGAGCGCAGGUGGUUUAUUAAGUCUGGUGUAAAAGGCAGUGGCUCAACCAUUGUAUGCAUUGGAAACUGGUAGACUUGAGUGCAGGAGAGGAGAGUGGAAUUCCAUGUGUAGCGGUGAAAUGCGUAGAUAUAUGGAGGAACACCGGUGGCGAAAGCGGCUCUCUGGCCUGUAACUGACACUGAGGCUCGAAAGCGUAGGGAGCAAACAGG